CCUGAUGCAGCAACGCCGCGUGAGGGACGACGGCCUUCGGGUUGUAAACCUCUUUUAGCAGGGAAGAAGCGAAAGUGACGGUACCUGCAGAAAAAGCACCGGCUAACUACGUGCCAGCAGCCGCGGUAAUACGUAGGGUGCAAGCGUUAUCCGGAAUUAUUGGGCGUAAAGAGCUCGUAGGCGGUUUGUCGCGUCUGCUGUGAAAACCCGAGGCUCAACCUCGGGCCUGCAGUGGGUACGGGCAGACUAGAGUGCGGUAGGGGAGAUUGGAAUUCCUGGUGUAGCGGUGGAAUGCGCAGAUAUCAGGAGGAACACCGAUGGCGAAGGCAGAUCUCUGGGCCGUAACUGACGCUGAGGAGCGAAAGGGUGGGGAGCAAACAGGCUUAGAUACCCUGGUAGUCCACCCCGUAAACGUUGGGAACUAGUUGUGGGGUCCAUUCCACGGAUUCCGUGACGCAUCUAACGCAUUAAGUUCCCCGCCUGGGGAGUACGGCCGCAAGGCUAAAACUCAAAGGAAUUGACGGGGACCCGCACAAGCGGCGGAGCAUGCGGAUUAAUUCGAUGCAACGCGAAGAACCUUACCAAGGCUUGACAUAUACGAGAACGGGCCAGAAAUGGUCAACUCUUUGGACACUCGU
rnacentral:rRNA from 1 species